rnacentral:misc_RNA from 1 species
GAUGAAGAACGCAGCGAAAUGCGAUAAGUAAUGUGAAUUGCAGAAUUCAGUGAAUCAUCGAAUCUUUGAACGCACAUUGCGCCCCCUGGUAUUCCGGGGGGCAUGCCUGUCCGAGCGUCAUUGCUGCCCUCAAGCACGGCUUGUGUGUUGGGCCCCGUCCUCCGAUUCCGGGGGACGGGCCCGAAAGGCAGCGGCGGCACCGCGUCCGGUCCUCGAGCGUAUGGGGCUUUGUCACCCGCUCUGUAGGCCCGGCCGGCGCUUGCCGAUCAACCCAAAUUUUUAUCCAGGUUGACCUCGGAUCAGGUAGGGAUACCCGCUGAACUUAAGCAUAUCAAUAAGCGGAGGA